rfam:Ictidomys tridecemlineatus contig115664, whole genome shotgun sequence.
UCUCAAAAAAUACAGACACUAGUGUGUGAUAGCUACAAAUAGCCAUCUCCUUUGUAGCAUAUACAGCCUAUUGCUUGUAUAGGUUGUUCUUAGGGACCUUGGAGACAAUA